rnacentral:tRNA from 1 species
UUAUUGAGUAAUAUGGAUAGAUAGGUUAAGUAUAUAAUGUACAUAUUAUUUACAAUAAUAAAGACUAAAUAAUAGAACUUACUU